rnacentral:rRNA from 1 species
GACGAACGCUGGCGGCGUGCCUAAUACAUGCAAGUAGGACGCAGUUGCGAAUGGGUGAGUAACGCGUAGGUAACAACCUAGUAGAGGGGGAUAACAAGUGGACACGAUAGCCAAUACCGCAUACUAGUAGACGGAGCUGCGUUGUAUUAGCUAGUAGGUAGGGUAAAGGCCUACCUAGGCAACGAUACAUAGCCGACCUGAGAUGGUGAGCGGCCACACUGGGACUGAGACACGGCCCAGACUCCUACGGGAGGCAGCAGUAGGGAAUCUUCGGCAAUGGGGGGAACCCUGACCGAGCAACGCCGCGUGAGUGAAGAAGGUUUUCGGAUCGUAAAGCUCUGUUGUUAAGGAAGCGGUACUUAACCAGAAAGGGACGGCUAACUACGUGCCAGCAGCCGCGGUAAUUC